CCCUUAGAUGUUCUGGGCCGCACGCGUGCUACACUGAACGGUUCAAUGGGUAAGGUAGUGCGAAAGCAUGACCUAAUCUCGAAAUCCGUUCGUGCUGGGGAUAGAAGCUUGCAAUUAUCCUUCUUGAACGAGGAGUACCUUGUAAGCGUGAGUCAUCAUCUCACGCUGAAUACGUCCCUGCCCUUUGUACACACCGCCCGUCGCUCCUACCGAUUGAGUGUUCCGGUGAGGCUUCGGGAGAACUGGGUGGAUUGUGUUUCACAAACUGCUCGGUUUGAACUUAGUCAAACCUUAUCACUUAGAGGAAGGAGAAGUCGUAACA
rnacentral:rRNA from 1 species